UUAGAUACCCUAUUAUAUUUCUAUGAAAAUUCAUGCCCUGGUGAUUAAUUAGUUAUGACCUAUAAAUUUAAAAAAUUUGGCGGUAGUUAAGCCUGGUUAGAGGAGCUUGUCUUAUAAACGAUAGUCCGCGAUAAAUCUUAUUUUACUUUGUUUAUUUCAGUUUGUAUAUCGCUGUUAUAAGAUAAAUUUAAUAAAAUUUUAUUUUGAUAUUUUACGAUAGUAUAUCAAGUCAUGAUGCAGUUUAUAGUAAAGUAAAGGUGAGCUACAUUGAUUUUUAAUUAUACGGAUAUGAAAAAGUAUUUUUUCUUAGAAGGAGGAUUUAAUUGUAAUUAUUUAUUAACAUGUAAUUUUGAUAUUAGCUCUUAAGUAUGUACAUAUCGCCCGGUCGCUA
rnacentral:rRNA from 1 species